rnacentral:tRNA from 1 species
GAGGGUAUAGCUCAGUGGUAGAGUGCACACUUUGCAUCCACCAGGCCCUGGGUUCAAUCCUCAGUACCUCCA